rnacentral:rRNA from 1 species
GACGAACGCUGGCGGCGUGCCUAAUACAUGCAAGUCGAGCGGAUGGAAGGAAGCUUGCUUCCUAAAGUCAGCGGCGGACGGGUGAGUAACACGUGGGCAACCUGCCCCUAAGAUCGGGAUAACUUCGGGAAACCGGAGCUAAUACCGGAUAUGAUUAUGUCUCACAUGAGACAUAAUGGAAAGACGGUUUCGGCUGUCACUUAGGGAUGGGCCCGCGGCGCAUUAGCUAGUUGGUGAGGUAACGGCUCACCAAGGCGACGAUGCGUAGCCGACCUGAGAGGGUGAUCGGCCACACUGGGACUGAGACACGGCCCAGACUCCUACGGGAGGCAGCAGUAGGGAAUCUUCCGCAAUGGACGAAAGUCUGACGGAGCAACGCCGCGUGAGUGAAGAAGGUUUUCGGAUCGUAAAACUCUGUUGUUAGGGAAGAACAAGUACCAUAGUAACUGAUGGUACCUUGACGGUACCUAACCAGAAAGCCACGGCUAACUACGUGCCAGCCGCCGCGGUAA